AACGCACAUUGCGCCCGCCAGUAUUCUGGCGGGCAUGCCUGUUCGAGCGUCAUUUCAACCAUCAAGCGCCUGCGCUUGUGUUGGAGCCCUGCGGCUGCCGCAGGCUCCCAAACCCAGUGGCGGGCUCGUCGUCGUACCGAGUGCAGUAAAUUUACCACGCUCAGGGCACGCGACGGGUGACCGGCCGUAAAACCCCCCACUUUCUCAAGGUUGACCUCGGAUCAGGUAGGAAUACCCGCUGAACUUAA
rnacentral:misc_RNA from 1 species